UACGUAGGGUGCAGGCGUUAAUCGGAAUUACUGGGCGUAAAGCGUGCGCAGGCGGUUUGCUAAGAGAGAUGUGAAAUCCCCGGGCUUAACCUGGGAACUGCGUUUCUAACUGGCAGGCUUGAGUGUGGCAGAGGGGGGUGGAAUUCCACGUGUAGCAGUGAAAUGCGUAGAGAUGUGGAGGAACACCGAUGGCGAAGGCAGCCCC
rnacentral:rRNA from 1 species